CCUACGGGAGGCAGCAGUGAGGAAUAUUGGUCAAUGGGCGGAAGUCUGAACCAGCAAUGCCGCGUGCAGGAAGACGGCUCUAUGAGUUGUAAACUGCUUUUGUACAAGGGUAAACCUGAAUACGUGUAUUCAGCUGAAAGUACUGUACGAAUAAGGACCGGCUAACUCCGUGCCAGCAGCCGCGGUAAUACGGAGGAACCAAGCGUUAUCCGGUUUUAUUGGGGUUAAAGGGUGCGUAGGCUGAUUGAAAAGUUAGAGGUGAAAUGUACGGGCUUAACUCGGGAACUGCAUAUAAUACUGUUGAACUAGAGAGUAGGUGCGGUAAGUGGAAUGUAUAGUGUAGCGGUGAAAUGCGUAGAGAUCAUACAGAACACCGAUGGCGAAGGCAGCUUACCAAUCUAUAUCUGACGUUGAGGCACGAAAGCAUGGGGAGCAAACAGGAUUAGAUACCCGGGUAGUC
rnacentral:rRNA from 1 species